AAUAACUACGAUCAAAAUUAUUGUGUCUGCAGUUACAGUUGUCCGAUAUAAAAUUAAUUAAUUUCAUAUUAAUCUGUAAUAAGCUAAUAUAUAACUAAUCUUGAAUUUGUAUAUUUAUUCAUGAUUUUUUUGAUGUAUAUCGUUUACAGACUACACAUUUUACCGUCUUCUAAAAUUUCCUUUUAAUAGAAUCAGUGCUCUUAACUGCAUAGCCAUCAACAUCAGUACAAAUUCAAUCUCCUUCAUCUUGCCAGUUUUCGAGUUACACUACUAUACAAAAUACUUUAGAAAAUUAUCCAGCUGGUGAAAGGAUAUUAAAUCCUCUUAAUGGCAUUUUUACGGAAGAGGAUCGACGAGAAUUUCUACGAAUAGUUGUCUUGGAAUUAACUACUCUUUAUAAUAGCCGCUACCCUCCUGAAGAAGCUUAAAUUGCAUUAGCUAGAGCAAUUGUGACUGAAUAUUCUCAGCUAAAAAGUCCAAUCUCACACUAGGCUAUGGACUACGGACCGUUUGGAAAAAUAUGCCUGCUGACCGAAAGAAACAUAAGAUCUCUAAAUCGAAAAAACCAACCCUAACUCCUUUAUCUACAAAUAAUUCCAUUUAUAAUGAAGAAGAAAUAAAUCAAAAGAAUUACUACCUGUAUCGAAUGCAAUCGAAACAUGUAAAGGCAAAGUUUUUGAUAAAGGAAAGAGUCUCAGCAAAAGACAUGGAAAGGAACGUAAAAUUGAUGAAAAUACAUUACCAUGCGAAACUAAUUUUCCAAAUGAAUAUCUUCUACAAAUAGUACCAACAGGUUCCAAUAUAGAAAGUUUUGUGAAAGAAGUUAGAGAAGGAAAGAAAGAAUCUAUUCAGCCUUGCAUAAUUUUGGCUCAAAGUGAUACU